UUGCAUGGUUGUAUUUGUGAUGAAGUAC
rnacentral:piRNA from 1 species